rnacentral:rRNA from 1 species
AGAGUUUGAUCAUGGCUCAUAUUGAACGCUGGCGGCAUGCUUUACACAUGCAAGUCGAACGGUAACUGGCCGCCUGGUGCUGACGAGUGGCGAACGGGUGAGUAAUGCAUCGGAACGUGCCCAGUCGUGGGGGAUAACGCAUCGAAGGCUGCGCUAAUACCGCAUACGAUCUAUGGAUGAAAGCGGGGGACCGUAAGGCCUCGCGCGAUUGGAGCGGCCGAUGUCCGAUUAUGUAGUUGGUGGGGUAAAGGCUCACCAAGCCAACCAUCUGUAGCUGGUCUGAGAGGACGACCAGCCACACUGGGACUGAGACACGGUCCACACUCCUACGGGAGGCACCACUGGGGAAUUUUGGACAAUGGGCGCAAGCCUGAUCCAUCAAUGCCGCGUGCAGGAAGAAGGCCUUCGGGUUGUAAACUGCUUUUGUACGGAACGAAACGGUCUGGGUUAAUACCCUGGGCUAAUGACGGUACCGUAAGAAUAAGCACCGGCUAACUACAUGCCAGCAGCCGCGGUAAUACGUAGGGUGCAAGCGUUAAUCGGAAUUACUGGGCGUAAAGCGUGCGCACGCCGGUCUGCAAGACAAUCGUGAAAUCCCUGGGCUCAACCUGGGAAUUGCAGUCGAUACUGGACAGCUCGAGUACGGUAGAGGAGGGCGGAAUUCCCCGCGUAGUGGUGAAAUGCGUACAUCUCGGGAGGAACAUCGAUGGCGAAAGCGACCGUCUGGGCCUGAACUGACACUGAGACACGAAAGCGUGGGGAGCAUACAGGAUUAGAUACCCCUCGGUAGUCCACGCCGUACACGAUGAGAACUCUGACGUCGGUCUGCUCUGCGCAUCGAUGUCGUCCGCUGACGCGCUAAGUCCUCCGCCUGGGGGAGUACGGCCCGCAGGUUGAAACUCAGAGAAAUGACGG